rnacentral:rRNA from 1 species
GCGGGCCGUGAGAGCGGGAGCCCGGAGAAUGGGCACUGAGACAAGGGCCCAGGCCCUACGGGGCGCAGCAGUCGCGAAAACUUUGCAAUAAGCGAAAGCUUCGACAGGGCUAUCCCGAGUGCCAUCCGCUGAGGAAGGCUUUUACCCAGUCUAGAACGCUGGGGGAAUAAGGAGAGGGCAAGUCUGGUGUCAGCCGCCGCGGUAAUACCAGCUCUCCAGUGUGUGGAUGUUAUUGGGCUAAAGAUCCGUACUGGCUAGGUCAGUCCCUUGUAAAUCCCCGAAUAAUCGUUGGAUUGCGGGGGAACUGCUUGGCUAGGGGACAGAGAGGCAACGGUAUUUCGGGUAGGGUGAAUCCUAUAUCCCGGGAAAACACCAGU